UAAAGCAGGACUGUCCAACCUGCACCCUCCCAGAUGUUGCUGAACUACAACUCCCAUGAUUCCCUGGCUAUCUGUUUCAUUGAAAGAAACAUGGGAGUUGUAGUUCAGCAACAUCUGGGGGGGCUGAAGCUUGGACAGGCCUGUAUUA